GAUGAACGCUGGCGGCGUGCCUAAUACAUGCAAGUCGAGCGAACAGACGAGGAGCUUGCUCCUCUGACGUUAGCGGCGGACGGGUGAGUAACACGUGGAUAACCUACCUAUAAGACUGGGAUAACUUCGGGAAACCGGAGCUAAUACCGGAUAAUAUAUUGAACCGCAUGGUUCAAUAGUGAAAGACGGUUUUGCUGUCACUUAUAGAUGGAUCCGCGCCGCAUUAGCUAGUUGGUAAGGUAACGGCUUACCAAGGCAACGAUGCGUAGCCGACCUGAGAGGGUGAUCGGCCACACUGGAACUGAGACACGGUCCAGACUCCUACGGGAGGCGGCAGUAGGGAAUCUUCCGCAAUGGGCGAAAGCCUGACGGAGCAACGCCGCGUGAGUGAUGAAGGUCUUCGGAUCGUAAAACUCUGCUAUUAGGGAAGAACAAAUGUGUAAGUAACUAUGCACGUCUUGACGGUACCUAAUCAGAAAGCCACGGCUAACUACGUG
rnacentral:rRNA from 1 species